rnacentral:lncRNA from 1 species
GAGGCCUUGCCCUGCAAAGCCCCAGGCUGAGGGGCUGGGGUUGGGGUGGGGUUUACCAGGACCUGGUUCCUGUAAGCCGAGGUCUCCUUCCCUGGCUCUUCCAGCCUCAAGCCAGCAGUAGCAGGGCAGCCUGAUAGAGUAGGGCACCCCAGGGGUGAGGGGAGACCAGGAAGGCAGACACCCCUGUCUCCUGACAGCCUCGUAACCAUGCAGGAGACUCACUGUGACUUGUCCCACACCCUCCCCAGUGUCUCCUCGGUUGGGGCUGGGGGCUUCAGGGAUCAGGGAGAGGCUGGGUGCCAGCAGCGUGCCUGGUGGCACCUGGGACAGGGCCUUGCUGGGGGUGGGUGCUGUGGGUGUGCUCGCCAGGCCGAGGCAUUGGGAAGGAACGAGGUGGGGAGCUCUCUGGAGAGGCACACGGGUGGGUACCAGCUGGAGGUGUUGCCUGAGCAGCUGGCAAGGCUGGGGCCUUCAGAUUAGGCCAUAGGUGAGUGGCCUGGAGCGCCUGGCCAAGGAGCAGAGCUGGGCAGGGGCCAGGGGCUGUGCUGGGCCUCUGUCCGGGGCUUUUCUCCGGGGAACGGUUCCGGGGCAGUGGGCUCGAGACUCUGGCCCUGGGGAUUGCAUACUGGGGCAGAUCGGACCAUCCAGGAGCGAGUGGGAGGUGGGUGUGCCGGGGCUUCACACCGGUUUCCACUUCUCUGGCCUGUGUUGACACAGGCCACCCUCCCCACCAGGCUGGUCCCGAGCCCCCUCCUGGCCCCCAGGCCUGGAAGACAGCUUCCUUGCUGCCUGGCCAGGCCCCCUUGUGGUUGCCAGGGCCUCGAUGCUGGAAUGUCAGAGGCCCCCCACUGGCCCCUCAGCCUCCUCCUGCUUUGCACAGGCUGGGCCAGAGCCUGCCACGGAGCCCCAGCGGCUACACACUCCACUCACUCACACCUCUCAGGGCCCCGCACGUUCCCACAGCCCUCAGGGUGUACGUGCUGUAGGUGUGGCUGUGCCCCAGGUAUGUGUUCCCCAGGUGUGCUUGUGCCCCAGGUGUGGCUGUGCCCCAGGUGUGCGUGUGCCCCAGGUGUUCGUGUGCCCCAGAUGUGGCUAGGUGUCUAGAUGUGUUCUAGAUGUCUGUGUAUUCCAGUGUGGCUGUGUCCCAGGUGUGCGUGUGCCCCAGGUGUGUGCCUCAGGUGUGCGUGUGCCCCAGGUGUGGCUUUGCCUCCAGUGUGUGUGUGCCCCAGAUGUAUGUGUGCCCCAGGUGUGGCUGUGCCCCAGGUGUGCCUGUGCCCCAGGUGUGGCUGUGCCCCAGGUGUGCCUGUGCCCCAGGUGUGGGUGUGCCCCAGGUGUGGGUGUGCUCCAGGUGGCUGUAUUUCCCAGGUACUCAGGGUGAGGUUGGGAAAAAAGCAGGACAUUUCUACACUAGGUGGGACAAGCAGGUUUCUGGGGUGCCCCCCUCAUGCCAGCCCCUCUGUGGGAUCUCCAUACCCCUCAUCCUCUGAGGCCUGGCGCACGGCGGGGCUCAGAGACUGAAGGAAGGACUGUAGGAGUGGACGAUGGUGGGGGUUUGACCUGACGCCGGGCCAGAUGCCCUGUGUGGCUGCCUCAGCCUGGAGUAGAGUGUCUGAGCUGGAACAGGGGUCCUAGCCCCACUCUGUGAGGCGAGAAACUGAGGCUUGGAGAGAGGAAGAGAUGGGGCUUCCCAGGACCUGGUGGGUGGUAUGCAAGGGGAGCUGGCUGGUGCAGCGGGGGCUGUGGUGAGGGCCCUGGGAGGGGCAGGGGGAUGCACGCAGACAGAGGCUCUGCCUGCCCGCAGAGUGCCAGCUGAUGAAGACGGAGCGGCCCCGGCCCAACACCUUCAUCAUCCGCUGCCUGCAGUGGACCACUGUCAUCGAACGCACCUUCCAUGUGGAGACUCCUGAGGAGCGGUACGUGGGCUGUGGCGGCCAGGCCAGGCACUUGGGCAGCCCCAGCGCUUAGGAGGGACACGGGGAUGGCGGGGUGCUGGCACCUCUGCCUGUAGCCAUCCUCACUCCCCAGUGCUCCCAGGCCCUCCUCAGAGCCCAGUUUGGAAACUGGCCCAGUCCUGCCUGUGGGGUUUGGGUGGGGAAACUGAGGCUGGAGAUAAAAACUGGCUAGGGACCGGGUGCAGUGGCUCACGUCUAUAAUCUCGGCACUUUGGGAGGCCGAGGUGCGCAGAUCACUUGAGACCAGGAGUUUGAGACUAGCCUGCCAACAUGGUGAAACCCCCGUCUCUACUAAAAAUAUAAAACUUAGCUGGGUGUGGUGGUGCACACCUGUAAUCCCGGCUACUUGGGAGGCUGAGGCACAAGAAUCGCUUGAACCCGAGAGGCAGAGGCUGCAGGAGCCGAGAUUUUACCACUGCACUCCAGCCAGGGCGAUAGAGCAAGACUCCGUCUCAAAAAAAGAAAAACCCGGUGGAGAGGGCCAGUCCUCCUUGGGGGGCGGAGUCCUGCUUGGGAGGCGGAGUCCUGCUUGGGGGGGGCGGAGUCCUGCUGGGGGGCGGAGUCCUGCUGGGGGUUGGAGUCCGGUUGUGGGGACAGAGUCCUGCUGGGGGGCUAAGCCUGGGUGUCCCCCACGUCCAAGAGGGCUUCGUGACCCUGAGUGUAUGUGGCCAGACCAGGUCAAGUGGUGGCCUCCUCAGGGCUGUCUCUGGGAACCCCGACAGCUGUGGAACCACGCUUGUGAGGCUGGCGGGUGGGUGAAAGACGUGGGGUGGAGCUCCUGAUCUGGUACAGGCCUGCAGCCUCACCUGACCUCCUGCAGGGAGGAGUGGACAACCGCCAUCCAGACUGUGGCUGACGGCCUCAAGAAGCAGGAGGAGGAGGAGAUGGACUUCCGGUCGGGCUCACCCAGUGACAACUCAGGGGCUGAAGAGAUGGAGGUGUCCCUGGCCAAGCCCAAGCACCGCGUGGUGAGGCCUGUCCCCACUUCUGCCUGUGCCUGGGGCUGCCUUGGACUGUGGAGGGCUGGGUGGGUCAUGGGGUCCCAGCUCGGCCCAGGAGACACUCAGCACUCCACGGCAUCUCCACCUAGGCCGGUUUUCCAUGUAGGGCGCAGCUGCUUCCCAGGUGGGUCCUCUUCCCCAUGUCAGAGGAAAACUGGGGUUGCUGAGCCCUGCCAGGCUUGGGCAAUGUUACCCCACCCUUCCCUGAACCCCAUGCUCUGAGCUGGGGCCGCAGCCAUGUGUUCCCUGUAAGCCUGGACUCCCCGCUGAGCCCAGUAGGCCACCAGGUGUGAAGUGGACGCCUCUCCUGGCUCUGCCUCCGACUCUGGGGCCCCUCAUGCCACCCCACGCAUGCCGACCAGCUGGGCACUGUUGGCAGCGCCGCUUGCUGACCCUGGUGCCUGCCCAUAGACCAUGAACGAGUUUGAGUACCUGAAGCUGCUGGGCAAGGGCACUUUCGGCAAGGUGAUCCUGGUGAAGGAGAAGGCCACAGGCCGCUACUACGCCAUGAAGAUCCUCAAGAAGGAAGUCAUCGUGGCCAAGGUGGGGCCGGGGCGGUGGGGCAGGGUGGAGAUGAGGGUGCGGGGUGGCAGCUCACCCAGCCCUGCUUUACAGGACGAGGUGGCCCACACACUCACCGAGAACCGCGUCCUGCAGAACUCCAGGCACCCCUUCCUCACAGUGAGUGGGAGCCCAGAUGGGGCUGAAGGGCUGGGGCCAGGUAGCGACUCCUGGGGCUGUCUCUAGGGGACGAUGUCCUGUCUUCUUGGGCACGUGAGGGCUUUACACACCGUGGACUCCGCCGCUGGUGAGACAGGCCUGCCCUGGAGGGUCAGGCUGUGGAGGUGCCCAGUGUGGGCUAGGGGCUGUGCUCGCUGCUCCCGUGUGCGGGCAGGUGGGUGGGGCAGGUGGCCCUGGUCUUCCUUGCACUCUGCCGAGGCUCCAGGAGGCCCCAGCUCCCCAUGCCCUGCAGCCCUGCCUGCCAGGCUUUUGUUGAGGCCCGGGCUCUGUCCUGCAGAACCUGUUCUGGGGACUUGGCCCAGGAGGUAUUUACUGUGAAGGGGGCCAGGGUCCAGCCACUUGGUUAGUUCCAGGUCACUGUGUUUGGGGACGAUUCUCCUGCAGAUGGGGCCUUUGCUUUAAAAGCACAGUCGCCUGUGGUGGAAGGCGGGAGGGUGGGUCUCGCCUGGGAGGGUGUGUCCUCCCUUUGCGAAGGCCCUGGUGCUGGGAGCACUGUCCCCUGCUGAGGUCCCAACUCACCCUGGAGGACCUGAGCCCAGGCCACCUUGCUCACCUUUCAAACACUCCUUGGCACCUCAGGGGCUGCCGGGGCCCAGCCUGAUGGUGGCGUGGCAUGAGGCAGUGUGGUGUGGGGCAGUGUGGUGUGGGGCAGCGUGGCAUGGGGGCAGUGUGAUGUGGGGGUGUAUGGUGUGGGGCAGUGUGAUGGGGUGUGUGGUGUGGGGCAGUGUGGUAUCGGGCGGUGUGGUAUCAGGCAGCGUGGUGUCGGGCAGUGUGGUGUGGGGCUACGGGCGGUGUGGUAUCAGGCGACGUGGUAUCAAGCAGCGUGGUGUCGGGCAGCGUGGUGCGGGGCUGCCGUCCUGCCUGUGGGGCCGCAGUUCCAGCUCCCCUUCCUUGCAGGCCCUGAAGUACUCUUUCCAGACCCACGACCGCCUCUGCUUUGUCAUGGAGUACGCCAACGGGGGCGAGGUAGGGGCUGGGGCUGCGGGGGAUGGACUUCGCGGCCUGUGGGCCGCCCAUGGUGGGGCCGGUCCUUCCCGGAGCCUCGGCUACUCUCCAUGGCACCAGACGGUGCUCCCUGCUGGGUGGGUGGUGUGAUGCCUGCCCAGGCAGCUGCCUGCUGUGGGGUGACUUGUUCCUGCUGAGUUAGGGCUUCUGAGACUUUCCAGGCCCCCGUGCCCUCUGGUGGCUGGUCCCUUCCCUGUGCAAUGCCGAGACCCGGUCUGAGAAACCCCAGCCCUGCAGGCCAUGGGGGCAGAGGCCCGAGCCACGGCUGUGCCUCAGGUUGCGCCUCCCGCAGCUGUUCUUCCACCUGUCCCGGGAGCGUGUGUUCUCCGAGGACCGGGCCCGCUUCUAUGGCGCUGAGAUUGUGUCAGCCCUGGACUACCUGCACUCGGAGAAGAACGUGGUGUACCGGGACCUCAAGCUGGAGAACCUCAUGCUGGACAAGGACGGGCACAUUAAGAUCACAGACUUCGGGCUGUGCAAGGAGGGGAUCAAGGACGGUGCCACCAUGAAGACCUUUUGCGGCACACCUGAGUACCUGGCCCCCGAGGUGUGCGCCCCACCUGCGUGCAUACGCGUUGCUGCGUCCCCACGUCCUGAGCACACGCAAUGCUGUGUCCUCUCUGUGCCCCAAGCACGUCACACCUCCCCCGGCAGUGUCCCGGACACCCCUUGAUGCCGAGUCCUGCCCAUCUGCCACCCGUGCAGGUGCUGGAGGACAAUGACUACGGCCGUGCAGUGGACUGGUGGGGGCUGGGCGUGGUCAUGUACGAGAUGAUGUGCGGUCGCCUGCCCUUCUACAACCAGGACCAUGAGAAGCUUUUUGAGCUCAUCCUCAUGGAGGAGAUCCGCUUCCCGCGCACGCUUGGUCCCGAGGCCAAGUCCUUGCUUUCAGGGCUGCUCAAGAAGGACCCCAAGCAGAGGCUUGGCGGGGGCUCCGAGGACGCCAAGGAGAUCAUGCAGCAUCGCUUCUUUGCCGGUAUCGUGUGGCAGCACGUGUACGAGAAGAAGGUGCGGCUGCUCCCCGCAUAUUCACGCGCACGCAUGCUCCCCACAUAUCCACACUCACGCAUGCACGUGGCACGCUCGCCAGAUUUCCCACACACUCGCCCUCACCUCAGGAGCCUGCUGCAGUCCUGGUACAAGGAGGGCCUUGCUGCACCAACCUCAGCGCCUGGUGCUCAGAGGCUCUGGCACUGCCGGGUUCCACCAGGAAACUGGCCUGGUCCUCAUUUCCUCCUCCCCUCGGAGGUGUGUCACACUCUGAGUUUCCUCCUCCCCUCGGAGGUGUGUCACACUCUGAGUGCCAGCCUUGGGGUUCCCUUCCCUGACGCUGUGCAGUGAAGGCUGGCUGGUGGUGGACCAGGGGUGCUGCCCCUUGGCCUCCACGAGUUCCUCCUGUUUGACCUCAAUCCCUUCUGCCGCAAGGAGAGCCCAGCCCUAUUUCUGGCUGUGCAGGGACAGGGACAGCACCUACUUUUCUGGCACAUGGGGGAGUCCGCCCUGGAGGGAGGCAGCUCUUUCUGCAUGAGUCGCCAUCCUGGGUGCUCAUCUUUCAGGGACCCUAGGAGCCCUGGCCAUCACCCCAGCUGAUGGGGUCUGCCAGCUGGGUUCGGAAGCCUGCACUCUGAGAUGCUGGGUGCCCUGUCACCAGGUGUGCUUCUGCCCCGUUCCCAGCCUGCCCCUCCCCUGAAUGCCUGUCCUAGGCUGUGUGCAGCUGGUCGGGCUGGGCAGCCCUGGGACCCAGCUGGGCACCUGUUCUCCCAUUAACACAGGGUGCCCUGGUCCUGGUCCCCGUUCCUGCCUUGAGGCCUGCCACCCUCCUGCCCUGCCCUCCAAGGGUAUGGGGGGCCUGGGCAGUGCUCAACCUCUGCCCAGCCUUGACCAGAGACCUUGCUAAUUGACAAUGGACAAUGCUGGUGCCCAGCCCAGACUCUGGGGUGGGGCAGUGCUUGAGGGGGUCCUUGACUGUGGGACCUGAGGGGCUCUCUGGCAGCUCCUCACGUGUGCACAUCACCUUAUAGUCACCCUUCAUCCUGGGUCAUUGAGAGUCCUGUCUGCAGCCAGAUGCCAGCAGGCUGUGGUCCUGUAGUCCCUGAGCCAUGGAGGCAGGGUGGGCUCAUCCUGUGCACCUUGUUCCACAGUCUCCCUCUUUCCCAAUUUACAAGAAGACCAAUAAGAAAAAUAAGAAAACAAGAAAGAAAAAGGAAAAAUAAAGUUAUCACCUCCUGGUAGCAGGGAGGGUCUCUCAGAGCUGGGCUGCACUACCUCCUGUCGCCUGCUGGGGCUGCUGUGAGGGCAGCUUUGCGUCUCAGCUGUUGAGGGUUGUCUCCGUGCUCCUGCACCCCUCAUGUCCCUCCCUCCCAGAGCUGCCUCUGUGGGGGGCUGGUGGCUUGCUGCUCUCUGACAUCAGUCCUGCCUGGAGACCCCUUGGAGAUCCAGGUGCUUUGAAGGUCUUGAGCACACUUGAGGGUGUGCUGGGAGUGGGGAGCGAAGCUCAUGACUGUCCCGUCUGCCCACCUCUGCAGCUCAGCCCACCCUUCAAGCCCCAGGUCACGUCGGAGACUGACACCAGGUAUUUUGAUGAGGAGUUCACGGCCCAGAUGAUCACCAUCACACCACCUGACCAAGAUGACAGCAUGGAGUGUGUGGACAGCGAGCGCAGGCCCCACUUCCCCCAGUUCUCCUACUCGGCCAGCGGCACGGCCUGAGGCGGCGGUGGACUGCGCUGGACGAUAGCUUGGAGGGAUGGAGAGGCGGCCUCGUGCCAUGAUCUGUAUUUAAUGGUUUUUAUUUCUCGGGUGCAUUUGAGAGAAGCCACGCUGUCCUCUCGAGCCCAGAUGGAAAGACGUUUUUGUGCUGUGGGCAGCACCCUCCCCCGCAGCGGGGUAGGGAAGAAAACUAUCCUGCGGGUUUUAAUUUAUUUCAUCCAGUUUGUUCUCCGGGUGUGGCCUCAGCCCUCAGAACAAUCCGAUUCACGUAGGGAAAUGUUAAGGACUUCUGCAGCUAUGCGCAAUGUGGCAUUGGGGGGCCGGGCAGGUCCUGCCCAUGUGUCCCCUCACUCUGUCAGCCAGCCGCCCUGGGCUGUCUGUCACCAGCUAUCUGUCAUCUCUCUGGGGCCCUGGGCCUCAGUUCAACCUGGUGGCACCAGAUGCAACCUCACUAUGGUAUGCUGGCCAGCACCCUCUCCUGGGGGUGGCAGGCACACAGCAGCCCCCCAGCACUAAGGCCGUGUCUCUGAGGACGUCAUCGGAGGCUGGGCCCCUGGGAUGGGACCAGGGAUGGGGGAUGGGCCAGGGUUUACCCAGUGGGACAGAGGAGCAAGGUUUAAAUUUGUUAUUGUGUAUUAUGUUGUUCAAAUGCAUUUUGGGGGUUUUUAAUCUUUGUGACAGGAAAGCCCUCCCCCUUCCCCUUCUGUGUCACAGUUCUUGGUGACUGUCCCACCGGGAGCCUCCCCCUCAGAUGAUCUCUCCACGGUAGCACUUGACCUUUUCGACGCUUAACCUUUCCGCUGUCGCCCCAGGCCCUCCCUGACUCCCUGUGGGGGUGGCCAUCCCUGGGCCCCUCCACGCCUCCUGGCCAGACGCUGCCGCUGCCGCUGCACCACGGCGUUUUUUUACAACAUUCAACUUUAGUAUUUUUACUAUUAUAAUAUAAUAUGGAACCUUCCCUCCAAAUUCUUCAAUAAAAGUUGCUUUUC